GGGGUUUCGACGGCAGUGAUUAUGGCUCAGGAUGAACGCUGGCGGCGUGCUUAACACAUGCAAGUCGAACGAAGCAACUUAUUACGAUCCCUUCGGGGUGACGAUUUGUUGACUGAGUGGCGGACGGGUGAGUAACGCGUGGGUAACCUGCCUCGUACAGGGGGACAACAGUUGGAAACGGCUGCUAAUACCGCAUAAGCGCACAGUACCGCAUGGUACAGUGUGAAAAACUCCGGUGGUACGAGAUGGACCCGCGUCUGAUUAGCUAGUUGGUGAGGUAACGGCCCACCAAGGCGACGAUCAGUAGCCGAUCUGAGAGGAUGAACGGCCACAUUGGGACUGAGACACGGCCCAGACUCCUACGGGAGGCAGCAGUGGGGAAUAUUGCACAAUGGGCGAAAGCCUGAUGCAGCGACGCCGCGUGAGCGAUGAAGUAUUUCGGUAUGUAAAGCUCUAUCAGCAGGGAAGAAAAAUGACGGUACCUGACUAAGAAGCACCGGCUAAAUACGUGCCAGCAGCCGCGGUAAUACGUAUGGUGCAAGCGUUAUCCGGAUUUACUGGGUGUAAAGGGAGCGUAGGCGGUUUUACAAGUCUGAUGUGAAAGCCCGGGGCUCAACUCCGGUAUUGCAUUGGAAACUGUAGAACUAGAGUGUCGGAGGGGUAAGUGGAAUUCCUAGUGUAGCGGUGAAAUGCGUAGAUAUUAGAGGAACACCAGUGGCGACGCGGCUUACUGGACGAUUACUGACGCUGAGGCUCGAAAGCGUGGGGAGCAAACAGAUUAGAUACCUGUAGUCACGCGUAAACGAUGAUACUAGUGUUGCACACAGUUGUCGUGCGCAGCUACGCAAUAGUAUCACUGGGGAGUACGUCGCAGAUGAACUCAAAGAUGACGGGACCGCACAGCGGUGGAGCAUGUGGUUAUCGAGCACCGAGACUACAGUCUUGACAUCGAUGAACAACAGAUGAGCCCCCUCGGGACAAUCGGUGACAGUGUGUGCAAGGGUUGUGCUUU
rnacentral:rRNA from 1 species